GAUCUGGCUCAGGAUGAACGCUGGCGGCGUGCCUAACACAUGCAAGUCGAGCGAAGCGGUUUUAAGGAAGUUUUCGGAUGGAAUUAAAACUGACUGAGCGGCGGACGGGUGAGUAACGCGUGGGUAACCUGCCUCAUACAGGGGGAUAACAGUUAGAAAUGGCUGCUAAUACCGCAUAAGCACACAGCUUCGCAUGGAGCAGUGUGAAAAACUCCGGUGGUAUGAGAUGGACCCGCGU
rnacentral:rRNA from 1 species